UCAGAUGCAGAGCCCUGAGCCCAGGAGGCUCUAGGCACCGGAGGGGAGGUGAUCCGGGUGAGUACCGGUGAGCAAGGGGGUCUGCCACCUUCUAACAGACAGUCCAGUGCUUCAGGGACCCUGCCGAGAAUGUGUGCAGCCUCAGAGG